CCACAUGCGGCCAUUGCCGGCUCACGUAGGUUCGUUCGCGUGGUCUUGUUACGCCUCGCUGGAUCGUGUUCAGUCAUGCCGUCCUUGCGCGGCGUGAUUGUCGGUGAGUCAGGUUAAAUUCUUAAAUAGGUCGCGCCUGCGCCUAAUUGAGUCUAUAAAAGCCUGCACAUUCAGUUUUGCUAGCUACAAUGCAGUGCGGCUUGCGUGAGCUGUCUCCACGAUGCGCUUCGAGCGUGUCGAUUUCGCCGUUCUUUAUGUUGGCGUUAACGACCUUGAAAGCAACAUGGAUCCACAAGAAAUGUGCGACAACAUCAAGGCCUUGAUUGUUCAACGAGACGGCCCCCGUCGUGCUGGUUUUCAAGGUGCUCCCUCGCUGCCUAGAAGAUGCUGAUGCGGAAUAGAAAAUGCAAAAACGUCGCUUGCUCAACCGCAAAUUGACGGCUACGCUGAAGCGCAUGCCGUGUCUGCGGAAUUUGAACCCCGAGCUUUCCAGAGUUCCUUGGAAAAUCCUCCCAUGCACCUGCCAUGUACAUUGCCCUCCUCCUCGAUGUGGCGUGCAAGAUGGCAGCAGCAGCUGUGGGAACAGUUGAAGAGGCGAAGAAAGGUCCACUUUAUAAUAGGUUGUAUGUAAAUAAAACUGAUCGACCUCAA